GGGUUCAUGGUCUAGUGGUAUGACGUCGGCUUUGCAUGCUGAAGGCCCGGGGUUCAAUUCCCCGUGGAUCCA